GAUGAAAGAACGUAGCGAAAUGCGAUAAGUAGUGUGAAUUGCAGAAUUCAGUGAAUCAUCGAAUCUUUGAACGCACAUUGCGCCCCUUGGUAUUCCAUGGGGCAUGCCUGUUCGAGCGUCAUUUGUACCUUCAAGCUCUGCUUGGUGUUGGGUGUUUGUCCCGCCUUUGUGCGUGGACUCGCCUUAAAGCAAUUGGCAGCCGGCGUAUAGAUUUCGGAGCGCAGCACAAAACGCGCUUUGUAACCCUUACGACGACGUCCAUCAAGCCUUUUUUUAACUCUUGACCUCGGAUCAGGUAGGGAUACCCGCUGAACUUAAGCAUAUCAAUAAGCGGAGGA
rnacentral:misc_RNA from 1 species